rnacentral:tRNA from 1 species
UCGCAUAUAGUCUAAGCGGGUUAGGAUACGUGGCUUUCACCCACGCGACCCGGGUUCGAGUCCCCGGUUUGGGAA